CUUGCUUCUCUUGAGAGCGGCGGACGGGUGAGUAAUGCCUAGGAAUCUGCCUGGUAGUGGGGGAUAACGUCCGGAAACGGACGCUAAUACCGCAUACGUCCUACGGGAGAAAGCAGGGGACCUUCGGGCCUUGCGCUAUCAGAUGAGCCUAGGUCGGAUUAGCUAGUUGGUGGGGUAAUGGCUCACCAAGGCGACGAUCCGUAACUGGUCUGAGAGGAUGAUCAGUCACACUGGAACUGAGACACGGUCCAGACUCCUACGGGAGGCAGCAGUGGGGAAUAUUGGACAAUGGGCGAAAGCCUGAUCCAGCCAUGCCGCGUGUGUGAAGAAGGUCUUCGGAUUGUAAAGCACUUUAAGUUGGGAGGAAGGGCAGUAAAUUAAUACUUUGCUGUUUUGACGUUACCGACAGAAUAAGCACCGGCUAACUCUGUGCCAGCAGCCGCGGUAAUACAGAGGGUGCAAGCGUUAAUCGGAAUUACUGGGCGUAAAGCGCGCGUAGGUGGUUCGUUAAGUUGGAUGUGAAAUCCCCGGGCUCAACCUGGGAACUGCAUUCAAAACUGACGAGCUAGAGUAUGGUAGAGGGUGGUGGA
rnacentral:rRNA from 1 species